CAGGCUUAGAAUCCCGUAACUUCUUUCUGAUCCCAGGGCCCAUGGUGUCUCUGAAGCUAUUGCGUAGUUACUCCAGCUUACUUUUCUACUGCUGCCAAAGUAACUAGGGGCCAGGAAGAGAGUUCUAUGUAGAAUUCUGAGUGACUUGCUCAUUCUAUUUGAUUAUCUGUGUGUGUGUAUGUGCACUCUUCUUGAUUUGAAAACAAACCUCCAGUCCUCUGUUUGAAUUUAAGCAGCAAUAAACCAAUGACAAUAAUUCCACUCACAUUUGUCUAGAACUCUCCAUUAAGAGGAGGACUGUGGAAGAAAGUCCAACAAAAGGGACUGAAAAGGGACAAUCAGACUGAAGGAAAGAAAGUACGACUGACUAUUACCAAGGAGUUUCAAUCCUUGACACAAUCAUCUAUGGCAAGGAGAAAGGAUGAGUGGAACAAGGAGAACUCUGUGAGUGGGGAACCUUCCACAGUAGGUUUUGUAACACUCAAGAAGUACAUGAAAGAGGCCUCUUUCAUCAAGUAUUCUUAAGUUAUGAAAAUGGAAUUGAAGCAUAUUUUCCCCCUUCGUAUGAGAGAGAACUUACGUGAAAUCAAGUAUUCGCGAUUUUUCAGAACUGCAUAUGGAGAAGUUGCUGAAAUUCAAUCUUGCUUCCAGAUAAAGUCAGCACAGCAUUACCCAGUUAUUAUGUAGCAUUUCCAUGCAAACUAAUAAAUAGUAUUUCAACUUAAAAUUUCGGUUUUUAAUCUAGAUGUAACUUAAAAACUCUUACAAGUAAAAACUCUUAGAAGUAAGCAUUCUUGUCCAUCAGAAGUUUGUACAGAAAAAGCAAAUUCAAAGGGACAAAUAUGGGCAGUGCCUUCCAGCACUGACAGGGGGAAAAGAUCCUGGCUCAAGAACACAGGUCUCUAGGCAAUGAAGCAAGUGUAUCCCUCAAGAGAGAAGAAUGCAUUAAGUUGUCAUGGCUUUGAAACAUCAGCCAUUUACACCUCCCAACUUAUUCCCCUGGUUCUGAACCCAGAUUCACUUGGUAACCAUUCCAUUGCUUAUAAUUCUUCUUUGCAUAUACUUGUAUCUGUAUCUACAUCUAUACCUACAGGGACAAAAUACAGCAGUCAAUAUAACUCAUUAGCUUGAUGGAUGUAUUUCUUAUUGUAAACUAAUAUAUUGGCAUUCUGAGAUAAAAAAGCUUUUUUAUUCAUGUGAAUAUUGUCAGUGAGAUCAUUUUAAAGUCACAUAACUCUCAGCCACACAUACGGAGGUAGAAGUUCCGUUUCUGGAACAUGAGACUAGAAAUUG
rnacentral:lncRNA from 1 species